rnacentral:rRNA from 1 species
UACGGGGGGUGCAAGCGUUGUUCGGAAUCAUUGGGCGUAAAGAGCGUGUAGGCGGCUGGACAAGUCAGAUGUGAAAUCCCUGGGCUUAACCCAGGAAGUGCAUUUGAAACUGUCUAGCUGGAGUAAGGGAGAGGAAAGUGGAAUUCCUGGUGUAGAGGUGAAAUUCGUAGAUAUCAGGAGGAACACCGGUGGCGAGGGCGACUUUCUGGCCCUAUACUGACGCUGAGACGCGAAAGCGUGGGUAGCAAACAGGAUUAGAUACCCUGGUAGUCCCU